rnacentral:rRNA from 1 species
GACGAACGCUGGCGGCGUGCCUAAUACAUGCAAGUAGAACGCUGAAGGAGGAGCUUGCUUCUCUGGAUGAGUUGCGAACGGGUGAGUAACGCGUAGGUAACCUGCCUGGUAGCGGGGGAUAACUAUUGGAAACGAUAGCUAAUACCGCAUAAGAGUAGAUGUUGCAUGACAUUUGCUUAAAAGGUGCAAUUGCAUCACUACCAGAUGGACCUGCGUUGUAUUAGCUAGUUGGUGAGGUAACGGCUCACCAAGGCAACGAUACAUAGCCGACCUGAGAGGGUGAUCGGCCACACUGGGACUGAGACACGGCCCAGACUCCUACGGGAGGCAGCAGUAGGGAAUCUUCGGCAAUGGACGGAAGUCUGACCGAGCAACGCCGCGUGAGUGAAGAAGGUUUUCGGAUCGUAAAGCUCUGUUGUAAGAGAAGAACGAGUGUGAGAGUGGAAAGUUCACACUGUGACGUAUCUACCAGAAAGG